rnacentral:rRNA from 1 species
UACGAAGGGGGCUAGCGUUGUUCGGAAUUACUGGGCGUAAAGCGCACGUAGGCGGAUAUUUAAGUCAGGGGUGAAAUCCCGGGGCUCAACCCCGGAACUGCCUUUGAUACUGGGUAUCUAGAGUCCGGAAGAGGUGAGUGGAAUUCCGAGUGUAGAGGUGAAAUUCGUAGAUAUUCGCAAGAACACCAGUGGCGAAGGCGGCUCACUGGCCCGAUACUGACGCUGAGGCACGAAAGCGUGGGGAGCAAACAGG